rnacentral:rRNA from 1 species
UACAGAGGUGGCGAGCGUUAUUCGGAAUUAUUGGGCGCAAAGGGCGCGUAGGCGGCUUGACAAGUCCCGGGUGAAAUCCCUCGGCUCAACCGAGGAACUGCCUUGGAAACUGUCUGGCUUGAGGCCGGGAGAGGGUAGUGGAAUUCCCAGUGUAGCGGUGAAAUGCGUAGAUAUCGGGAGGAACACCAGUGGCGAAGGCGACUUCCUGGCCUGUUCUUGACGCUGAGGCGCGAAAGCUAGGGGAGCAAACGGG